CUCCCCUCUCCCCGCCCUGGUGGCCGCUUCCUGUCCCUGCUCCUCCUAUCGCCAUGCAGUGAUGCCCACAGCCCUGCCUGCCUCCCUGUGCCCAGCUGCUUCCAGUCCUUACUUACUCUUCUCCAGCUUCAGCUGAAUGGAUGGCGGAAGGGAGCACACGGGGAUGCCACAGACCACAGGAGAGGGAGAUGCUAAGACCUUCAUGCACGCAGCCCCGAGUCCAUCUGCCCCAGAGAGCUGGUGGCCGAGCCCAGCCGAUGUCCUCCUGCAGAUGCCCAGGGGAAGCGGACCUGCUGGGAAGUCCUCCCCGCUAGCUGUCCUCCCGCGCUGUCAGCUCUUCCCUGCAGAUCCAGGGCACACCUGAAAGCAGUUCCCCUCACGGCUCUGGCUUCACACCGAGAGUGCUUUUCCU
rnacentral:lncRNA from 1 species